rnacentral:rRNA from 1 species
GACGAACGCUGGCGGCGUGCCUAAUACAUGCAAGUAGAACGCACAGUUUAUACCGUAGCUUGCUACACCAUAGACUGUGAGUUGCGAACGGGUGAGUAACGCGUAGGUAACCUGCCUGGUAGCGGGGGAUAACUAUUGGAAACGAUAGCUAAUACCGCAUAAUAUUAAUUAUUGCAUGAUAAUUAAUUGAAAGGUGCAAUUGCACCACUACCAGAUGGACCUGCGUUGUAUUAGCUAGUAGGUGAGGUAACGGCUCACCUAGGCGACGAUACAUAGCCGACCUGAGAGGGUGAUCGGCCACACUGGGACUGAGACACGGCCCAGACUCCUACGGGAGGCAGCAGUAGGGAAUCUUCGGCAAUGGACGAAAGUCUGACCGAGCAACGCCGCGUGAGUGAAGAGGGUUUUCGGAUCGUAAAGCUCUGUUGUAAGAGAAGAACGGGUGUGAGAGUGGAAAGUUCACACUGUGACGGUAUCUUACCAGAAAGGGACGGCUAACUACGUG